ensembl:lncRNA
UUUGAAAGAUUUUUUUCGUGUGUUUCUGGGUUAGCUCUUUGUCUGGAUUUCGGCACUGUGCUAAAGCUAGCUAGCGGAUAUUGAGCAUAGCUAAGCCUCUUUGGCCCUCGUUUGACAUUGACUUUGAAAGGAAUUUUCUAUGUUUGGACGCUAAUAUGUACAAAAUGACUGUGGUUAGACGCUGAUCGGCUAAUUUAAGCGUAUCUGCGUCCCUCUGCUUUGAAAUGUAGGUUUGAAAGAGAUUUUUUCGUGUGUUUCUGGGUGAGCUCUUUCUCUGGAUUUCGGCACUGUGCUAAAGCUAGCUAGCGGAUAUUGAGCAUAGCUAAGCCUCUUUGGCCCUCGUUUGACAUUGACUUUGAAAGGAAUUUUCUAUGUUUGGACGCUAAUAUGUACAAAAUGACUGUGGUUAGACGCUGAUCGGCUAAUUUAAGCGUAUCUGCGUCCCUCUGCUUUGAAAUGUAGGUUUGAAAGGGAUUUUUUCGUGUGUUUCUGGGUUAGCUCUUUGUCUGGAUUUCGGCACUGUGCUAAAGCUAGCUAGCGGAUAUUGAGCAUAGCUAAGCCUCUUUGGCCCUCGUUUGACAUUGACUUUGAAAGGAAUUUUCUAUGUUUGGACGCUAAUAUGUACAAAAUGACUGUGGUUAGACGCUGAUCGGCUAAUUUAAGCGUAUCUGCGUCCCUCUGCUUUGAAAUGUAGGUUUGAAAGAGAUUUUUUCGUGUGUUUCUGGGUUAGCUCUUUGUCUGGAUUUCGGCACUGUGCUAAAGCUAGCUAGCGGAUAUUGAGCAUAGCUAAGCCUCUUUGGCCCUCGUUUGAAAUUGACUUUGAAAGGAAUUUUCUAUGUUUUGACGCUGAUAUGGUCGGCUGCAUCCUUCGGAGGACCCGGCCUUCGCGGUCUACGUGGGGCCGGUCCUUCGACAGCCUUUGUCGCCUGGCUGUGACGUAAUUGGCCUUCAAACGCGGCCUCUGGAGGAUGCAGCCGACGUUUUGGGACACAGCUUUCGACUGUAUUCCAGCGGUAUCGUUUGUAAUUAAAACUUUU